AUUGAACGCUGGCGGCAUGCCUUACACAUGCAAGUCGAACGGUAACAGGUCUUCGGAUGCUGACGAGUGGCGAACGGGUGAGUAAUACAUCGGAACGUGCCCGAGAGUGGGGGAUAACGAGGCGAAAGCUUUGCUAAUACCGCAUACGAUCUCAGGAUGAAAGCAGGGGACCGCAAGGACUUGCGCUCACGGAGCGGCCGAUGGCAGAUUAGGUAGUUGGUGGGAUAAAAGCUUACCAAGCCGACGAUCUGUAGCUGGUCUGAGAGGACGACCAGCCACACUGGGACUGAGACACGGCCCAGACUCCUACGGGAGGCAGCAGUGGGGAAUUUUGGACAAUGGGCGCAAGCCUGAUCCAGCCAUGCCGCGUGCAGGAUGAAGGCCUUCGGGUUGUAAACUGCUUUUGUACGGAACGAAAAGACUUCUUCUAAUAAAGGGGGUCCAUGACGGUACCGUAAGAAUAAGCACCGGCUAACUACGUGCCAGCCGCCGCGGUAAAAC
rnacentral:rRNA from 1 species